rnacentral:tRNA from 1 species
GUGAUUGUAGCUCAGUUGGUUAGAGCGCUGGAUUGUGGUUCCAGAGGCCGCCGGUUCGAACCCGGUCCUUCACC